UUCCUCAUAUACCUUUGUUCAAUUUAAUUUCUCUUAUAAAUGUUGCCACUUUUUUAUUAUUUUUUUUAAGAAUAAACUUCAAAUAUCAUCCUAUAAUUUUACAUUUUUUUAUUUUAGUAAUCUGUGAUUUAAAGUUUAUCAGUUUAGUAUCCUAUAGUUUCAUUAUUCUCUUUUCGUCAACCUUUUCGUUAAUUUUUCGUUAAAUCAUAUACAAAAAACUUCAGAUACUCUACCUAUAGUUUUCCGAAUAUUCAUUUUAGUAUCUUUUACUUUUAACUUUGUCACUGAUUUAACCAAAAAAAAAUAGUGGACGGGAAUGAUAAAAAUAAAUAAAAUAAAAUCAUAGGGUACGAAAGUAAUACACUUUAAACAUAUUAAAGUAAAAAAGUGCGAAACCACAUAAGUAGUAUUGAGUUGAGCUAGAAUACUUGUAAAAGUAUUAUGUGGGUGGUGCUUUUGAGUUUUUAGCCAUUGGAUGGAGAGAUGUGAGGUUGAGAUGAUGGUGAUAGGUGGUGGUAGGUGGUGGUAGGUGGAAUAGUGUUUGAUCUAAGGGCUAUUAAUAAUCAAGGAGUAGAUCCAAUGUCUAAAAACCUAAUAGCAUCAUAGAGGUAAUACUUGUAAAAGUAUUCUAGCUCAAUUCAGUGGUAUUUAAAGUUUUUCGUUUUUUUUUAUUUAAAUAUUUUCUUACUUACCCCACCUCUUAUUAAAAAAAAAAAAAAACAAAAACAACUACAC
rnacentral:lncRNA from 1 species